GAUUAAGUUAUUAAGGGCGCACGGUGGAUGCCUUGGCACUAGAAGCCGAUGAAGGACGUUACUAACGACGAUAUGCUUUGGGGAGCUGUAAGUAAGCUUUGAUCCAGAGAUUUCCGAAUGGGGAAACCCAGCAUGAGUUAUGUCAUGUUAUCGAUAUGUGAAUACAUAGCAUAUCAGAAGGCACACCCGGAGAACUGAAACAUCUUAGUACCCGGAGGAAGAGAAAGAAAAUUCGAUUCCCUUAGUAGCGGCGAGCGAAACGGGAAGAGCCCAAACCAACAAGCUUGCUUGUUGGGGUUGUAGGACACUCUAUACGGAGUUACAAAGGACGACAUUAGACGAAUCAUCUGGAAAGAUGAAUCAAAGAAGGUAAUAAUCCUGUAGUCGAAAAUGUUGUCUCUCUUGAGUGGAUCCUGAGUACGACGGAGCACGUGAAAUUCCGUCGGAAUCUGGGAGGACCAUCUCCUAAGGCUAAAUACUCUCUAGUGACCGAUAGUGAACCAGUACCGUGAGGGAAAGGUGAAAAGCACCCCGGAAGGGGAGUGAAAUAGAACCUGAAACCGUGUGCUUACAAGUAGUCAGAGCCCGUUAAUGGGUGAUGGCGUGCCUUUUGUAGAAUGAACCGGCGAGUUACGAUUUGAUGCAAGGUUAAGCAGUAAAUGUGGAGCCGUAGCGAAAGCGAGUCUGAAUAGGGCGUUUAGUAUUUGGUCGUAGACCCGAAACCAGGUGAUCUACCCUUGGUCAGGUUGAAGUUCAGGUAACACUGAAUGGAGGACCGAACCGACUUACGUUGAAAAGUGAGCGGAUGAACUGAGGGUAGCGGAGAAAUUCCAAUCGAACCUGGAGAUAGCUGGUUCUCUCCGAAAUAGCUUUAGGGCUAGCCUCAAGUGAUGAUUAUUGGAGGUAGAGCACUGUUUGGACGAGGGGCCCCUCUCGGGUUACCGAAUUCAGACAAACUCCGAAUGCCAAUUAAUUUAACUUGGGAGUCAGAACAUGGGUGAUAAGGUCCGUGUUCGAAAGGGAAACAGCCCAGACCACCAGCUAAGGUCCCAAAAUAUAUGUUAAGUGGAAAAGGAUGUGGCGUUGCCCAGACAACUAGGAUGUUGGCUUAGAAGCAGCCAUCAUUUAAAGAGUGCGUAAUAGCUCACUAGUCGAGUGACACUGCGCCGAAAAUGUACCGGGGCUAAACAUAUUACCGAAGCUGUGGAUUGUCCUUUGGACAAUGGUAGGAGAGCGUUCUAAGGGCGUUGAAGCAUGAUCGUAAGGACAUGUGGAGCGCUUAGAAGUGAGAAUGCCGGUGUGAGUAGCGAAAGACGGGUGAGAAUCCCGUCCACCGAUUGACUAAGGUUUCCAGAGGAAGGCUCGUCCGCUCUGGGUUAGUCGGGUCCUAAGCUGAGGCCGACAGGCGUAGGCGAUGGAUAACAGGUUGAUAUUCCUGUACCACCUAUAAUCGUUUUAAUCGAUGGGGGGACGCAGUAGGAUAGGCGAAGCGUGCGAUUGGAUUGCACGUCUAAGCAGUAAGGCUGAGUAUUAGGCAAAUCCGGUACUCGUUAAGGCUGAGCUGUGAUGGGGAGAAGACAUUGUGUCUUCGAGUCGUUGAUUUCACACUGCCGAGAAAAGCCUCUAGAUAGAAAAUAGGUGCCCGUACCGCAAACCGACACAGGUAGUCAAGAUGAGAAUUCUAAGGUGAGCGAGCGAACUCUCGUUAAGGAACUCGGCAAAAUGACCCCGUAACUUCGGGAGAAGGGGUGCUCUUUAGGGUUAACGCCCAGAAGAGCCGCAGUGAAUAGGCCCAAGCGACUGUUUAUCAAAAACACAGGUCUCUGCUAAACCGUAAGGUGAUGUAUAGGGGCUGACGCCUGCCCGGUGCUGGAAGGUUAAGAGGAGUGGUUAGCUUCUGCGAAGCUACGAAUCGAAGCCCCAGUAAACGGCGGCCGUAACUAUAACGGUCCUAAGGUAGCGAAAUUCCUUGUCGGGUAAGUUCCGACCCGCACGAAAGGCGUAACGAUUUGGGCACUGUCUCAACGAGAGACUCGGUGAAAUCAUAGUACCUGUGAAGAUGCAGGUUACCCGCGACAGGACGGAAAGACCCCGUGGAGCUUUACUGUAGCCUGAUAUUGAAAUUCGGCACAGCUUGUACAGGAUAGGUAGGAGCCUUUGAAACGUGAGCGCUAGCUUACGUGGAGGCGCUGGUGGGAUACUACCCUAGCUGUGUUGGCUUUCUAACCCGCACCACUUAUCGUGGUGGGAGACAGUGUCAGGCGGGCAGUUUGACUGGGGCGGUCGCCUCCUAAAAGGUAACGGAGGCGCUCAAAGGUUCCCCAGAAUGGUUGGAAAUCAUUCAUAGAGUGUAAAGGCAUAAGGGAGCUUGACUGCGAGACCUACAAGUCGAGCAGGGUCGAAAGACGGACUUAGUGAUCCGGUGGUUCCGCAUGGAAGGGCCAUCGCUCAACGGAUAAAAGCUACCCCGGGGAUAACAGGCUUAUCUCCCCAAUAGUUCACAUCGACGGGGAGGUUUGGCACCUCGAUGUCGGCUCAUCGCAUCCUGGGGCUGUAGUCGGUCCCAAGGGUUGGGCUGUUCGCCCAUUAAAGCGGUACGCGAGCUGGGUUCAGAACGUCGUGAGACAGUUCGGUCCCUAUCCGUCGUGGGCGUAGGAAAUUUGAGAGGAGCUGUCCUUAGUACGAGGGACCGGGAUGGACAUACCUCUGGUGUACCAGUUGUCGUGCCAACGGCAUAGCUGGGUAGCUAUGUGUGGACGGGAUAAGUGCUGAAAGCAUCUAAGCAUGAAGCCCCCCUCAAGAUGAGAUUUCCCAACUUCGGUUAUAAGAUCCCUCAAAGAUGAUGAGGUUAAUAGGUUCGAGGUGGAAGCAUGGUGACAUGUGGAGCUGACGAAUACUAAUCGAUCGAAGACUUAAUCAA
rnacentral:rRNA from 1 species